UUGGCCAGUAUGAAUGGCGCCACGAAGGCCCCACUGUCUUAAGGAAAUUCCCAGYGAAAUUGAAUUCGUAGUGAAGAUGCUACRUCCAAUUUGUUAGACGAAAAGACCCCGUUGAGCUUUACUGGGGCACUUACACGGCCCCGGCCUUCCCGUGUCCGGGAACCGGCCGAAUUUAAAUGGGUGGUUUAGACUAUGUGGCAGCCCCCCGCCGGGGCAGAUGAAACCCCACUCCCCCAUGUCAAAGGGGCUAACCCCCCCUUGGGGGGGAGAGUGUAAGUAGGACAGUUUGGUUGGGGCGACCGCCUUUUAAAGAGUAACGAAGGUGCGCUUAAGGUGCGCAAUUAAUGACUGAAGCCUGACUGCGAGGGGGACACCCCGAGCAGACACCCCUAAGCCCGCCCGAAGGGCGGCGGUGGGGUGGGCCAUAGUGACCCGUUAAUUUAGAGUGGAAUAGUUAACGAUCAACGAAUAAAAGUUACCACGGGGAUAACAGCGUAAUAUCGUUAGAGAGUU
rnacentral:rRNA from 1 species